ensembl:lncRNA LINC00240 long intergenic non-protein coding RNA 240
AGUGGCGCAAUCGGUUAGCGCGCGGUACUUAUAUGGCAGUAUGUGUGCGAGUGAUGCCGAGGUUGUGAGUUCGAGCCUCACCUGGAGCAUUGUUUUCCAACCCAAAAUAGCAUUACUUGAAGUGCCUUUCCCCCUGUAAUCCGACUCCAUCGUCUUUAACGUGUUUGGAAUUGUGUACACAGUUUAUUGUUAUUGGUUUCCUUAGCCUUUUUAGAACCAAGCAACGCCAAUUACCAACAAAAUCCGUUGCGCCGCAGAUCAUCGAUCAUCGUUCCUCGGGGAGCCCCUGGCACAUACUUAGUGCUAAGAAACUCCCAUCAGGAGAAGCCAGCUCCCAUGUUAAGAAGUUCAAAUACCUAGAGACUGCGAUGGUUUGCAGAGGCUCAAGCUAACCACAUGGAAAGACAUGGAGAGAUAUUCCUUGCCAACCCUCAACUACUCCAACUAUUCUAAGACAUCAAACCUGUGAGUGAAAAAGCCAUCUCAUACCUUACAACUCUAGCAGAUGCCACAUAGUGUAGAGAUAAGCUCUCUCUGUCAUUCUCUGUCAAAAUUGUAAAAUCAUAAGCAAAUAAAUAAUCACAGUUGCUUCAAGUUACUACAUUUGAGCAUAGUAUUUUAAGCCACUGCAUUUGAGAUGGUUUGUUAUACAGCAAUAGAUAACUAAAAAACAAAGUCCCUUGAUUUAGACUUGUCCACUCAACUUGCUUGGCCAAUGGAAUGGGGUAGAAGUGAUGGUGUGCUUAUUCCCAGCCUGGGCCUUAAAAGGCUUUGCCUAUUUCCACUUGCCUUCUUGUACUUCUGCUAUUGUCAUAAGAAAAACAAACCGCAGGUCACCCACCGGUCUGAAGAGGAGGAUGAGAGACAAAGAAAAAAGUUGUCUGGCUGCCUCUGCUGUCUACAGAUUGAAGAAGAUCCAUCCAGCUGAGCCCAGCCUAGACCAGCUGACUUCUCCAAUAAGCCUGUAUGAAAUAAAUGCUUAUUGUUAUGUGACCUUGA